AACGAACGCUGGCGGCAGGCCUAACACAUGCAAGUCGAGCGAGGACUUCGGUCCUAGCGGCGGACGGGUGAGUAACGCGUGGAAACGUGCCCUUUGCUUCGGAAUAGCCCUGGGAAACUGGGAGUAAUACCGGAUGAGCCCUUUGGGGGAAAGAUUUAUCGGCGAAGGAUCGGCCCGCGUUGGAUUAGGUAGUUGGUGAGGUAAUGGCCUACCAAGCCGACGAUCCAUAGCUGGUUUGAGAGGAUGAUCAGCCACACUGGGACUGAGACACGGCCCAGACUCCUACGGGAGGCAGCAGUGGGGAAUCUUAGACAAUGGGGGAAACCCUGAUCUAGCCAUGCCGCGUGAGCGAUGAAGGCCUUAGGGUUGUAAAGCUCUUUCAGCUGGGAAGAUAAUGACGGUACCAGCAGAAGAAGCCCCGGCUAACUCCGUG
rnacentral:rRNA from 1 species